GGUUUYUUGUAAAAAUAAGAGAUUUAACCUGCCCAUUGAAUUAAAAAUUAUUAAAAGGCCGCAGUAGUUUGACUGUGCAAAGGUAGCAUAAUCAUUAGUUUUUUAAUUGAAAACUGGAAUGAAUGGUUGGACGAAGUAAAGACUGUUUUGUAUUAAAUAAAUUGAAUUUAUAGAUUAAGUAAAAAUACUUAGGUGUAUUUAAGGGACGAGAAGACCCUAUAGAGUUUAAUAAGUUUAUUUUUAAUUGAGUUUAUAUGAAAUUUUUGGUUAUGAAAAGAUUUAUUUUAUUGGGGAGAUAAAAAAAUAAUAAAAACUUUUUUUUUUGUUGAAUUAUAUUAUUAGAUAGUUGAUCCAUUAGUAGUGAUAAUAAGAUUAAAUUACCUUAGGGAUAACAGCAUAAUUUUCUUUAAAAGUUCAUAUUGAAAGGGAAGAUUAUGACCUCGAUGUUGGAUUAAGAUAAAAUUUGGGUGUAGAUGUUCAAUAAGUUAGGUCUGUUCGACCUAUAAAAUCUUACA
rnacentral:rRNA from 1 species